rnacentral:rRNA from 1 species
CUCCAGACUCCUACGGGAGGCAGCAGUGGGGAAUAUUGCACAAUGGGGGAAACCCUGAUGCAGCGACGCCGCGUGAGCGAUGAAGUAUUUCGGUAUGUAAAGCUCUAUCAGCAGGGAAGAAGAUGACGGUACCUGACUAAGAAGCCCCGGCUAACUACGUGCCAGCAGCCGCGGUAAUACGUAGGGGGCAAGCGUUAUCCGGAUUUACUGGGUGUAAAGGGAGCGUAGACGGCGGUGCAAGCCAGAUGUGAAAGCCCGGGGCUCAACCCCGGGACUGCAUUUGGAACUGUAUGGCUGGAGUGUCGGAGAGGCAGGCGGAAUUCCUAGUGUAGCGGUGAAAUGCGUAGAUAUUAGGAGGAACACCAGUGGCGAAGGCGGCCUGCUGGACGAUGACUGACGUUGAGGCUCGAAAGCGUGGGGAGCAAACAGGAUUAGAUACCCUCGUA